rnacentral:rRNA from 1 species
GACGAACGCUGGCGGCGUGCUUAACACAUGCAAGUCGAACGGAAAGGCCCCUUUGGGGGUACUCGAGUGGCGAACGGGUGAGUAACACGUGAGUAACCUGCCCUUGACUUCGGGAUAACUUCAGGAAACUGGGGCUAAUACCGGAUAGGAAUCCUUGCUGCAUGGUGGGGGUUGGAAAGCUUCGGCGGUUUUGGAUGGACUCGCGGCUUAUCAGCUUGUUGGUGGGGUAGUGGCUUACCAAGGCUUUGACGGGUAGCCGGCCUGAGAGGGCGACCGGCCACAUUGGGACUGAGAUACGGCCCAGACGCCUACGGGAGGCAGCAGUGGGGAAGAUUGCACAAGGGGCGGAAGCCGGAUGCAGCAACGCCGCGUGCGGGAUGACGGCCUUCGGGUUGUAAACCGCUUUCAGCAGGGGCGAAGCUUGUGGUGACGGUACCUGCAGAAGAAGCACCGGCUAACUACGUG